UACGGGGGGAGCAAGCGUUGUUCGGAUUUACUGGGCGUAAAGGGCGCGUAGGCGGUCAGCACAAGUCAGUUGUGAAAUCUCCGGGCUUAACUCGGAAAGGUCAACUGAUACUGUGCGACUAGAGUGCGGAAGGGGCAACUGGAAUUCUCGGUGUAGCGGUGAAAUGCGUAGAUAUCUGGAGGAACACCGGUGGCGAAGGCGGCAUCCUGGACCGAGAUUGACGCUGAUGCGCGAAAGCAUGGGGAGCAAACAGG
rnacentral:rRNA from 1 species